UCCUUGUUAGUAUAUCGGUUUAGUACACGCGCCUGUCACUUACUUGUUGUACUACGCGCGAGAGCUGGGUUCGACUCCCAGACAGGGAG